rnacentral:lncRNA from 1 species
UAGUUCCUAAAUAUAUUUAUCCAACCUAGUUACUUAACAUGUAAUAUCUACUAUUUAUAUAUAAAGUAGUUCCUAAAUGUAAUAUUGAAUAUAUUUAAUCUUCUACAUAAGUGCACCCCACUGAUUUCUCCUCUAAUUGCAAUUGACACACUGUUUUUAGCUCCUUGAUCAUCAGAGGUAAAUGGUUUGCUAAACCCGGAGGCUUUGUCAUUGCAUUCUACAUUUUUCAGUCCUUUCUCCAUCAAUGGAUCAUCCCUACAACCCUGUUCACCACCAACAGAUCCAUUUUCUUUAUCGUUGGUUGCUAUAUUAGCCUGGUGAGCAUUCUUUGCUUCAGUUAGUCUACCAUCAGCUUCAUUCUUAUCAGAUUUUGGUAACCUUGAAUUCAUUGAAAGAGAGUCUCCAUGAGGGCUUCUGUCACCCCCUAUGCUUGGUACACCAAAAUUGCAAACAUUAUGCCCAGCUUUUCUAUCCUCUGUCCUUUCUGUUGCAUCAGACUGGGUAGG